GUGCAAACAAAAUAUUUGACUGUAUUUUGUGUAGAAUUAUGAAUAUUUGGGGUUAUUAUGGGUUAUGUACAGUUAGCUAUGACACAUCUGGACAACUUUUCAAUCCUGUGUAUCAUACUCAUAAUCAGUAUUAUGAGUAUGAUACAACACUGAAAAUAUUAUAUGAACCCCAAUGCCAUGUGACCCUAUUACAUCUCAUAGAACACAUAAUUAUGUAUUCAGAUGGUGGGCUACUGAACAAGCAUCUCACUGAACAUGCAUCACUAAUUCGGUUAUUCAAUCAUUUUGUUGUGUCCACUUCAAGCCUGCACAACUAUACUAGCAGUGGUCUCUGACAAACCAAAGAUGUGUGACUUGUUCAGCACUUUGAGUGCCAUGUGGAGCUCUAAUGGUUCAUAAACAAAUCAAAUCAAUUUAGCUGAUUAGUGUCUAAAUGCAUUUGAGUGUUCUGUCAUUCACAGUUAAUUGGCAUUGCUUCCAUUUCAAUCUGACAUGAUUUGAUUGUGUUGUGAAGACCAUUGAGUUUCAAAGUAACCCUCUGUUUCUCCAAAUAAGAGCAACCCCAGCUAGCACAUAACGUUCUGAGAACCAUAUGUUUCUUAGAGCUUGGUGAGAGCAUGGUUGUCCUUUGGUUAUUUUGCCACAAUGCUCUGGGAAUGGUGCAAGAUACCCAGAUACAUAACGUUGUGAGAACCACAUGUUUCUUAGGUGGGAAUUUCAGUACAUAAUGUUUUCUGCAGGUUUCCUCGUGGUUCUAUGUAAGGAUGUUCUCAGAACAUUAAAGCUUUCCAUAAAAAAAAAGUUACUAAAAACAGUAACAUUCAGAGUGUUCUACAAAUGUUAUUUAAAAACAUAAUUUCCGUUCUCAGAAUGUUAAUUACACCUCCCGGGAAAACUUUCAGGGAACCAUAGUAAAACAUUCUCAGAACCUCCCUGCAACCUAAAAAUGUACUGUACGUUCCCAGAACAGAUCAUUUUCACCUCCGUUCUUAGAACUUAAAAAAUUCACUAGGUCUAAGGCACUGAAUCUCAGUGCUAGAGGUAUCACUACACACCCGGGUUUGAUCACCGGCUGUAUCACAACUGGACGUGAUCGGGAGUCCCAUAGGGCGGCGCACAAUUGGCCCAGUGUCAUCUGGGUUAGGAUAGGGUUUGGCUGGGGGAGCUUUACAUGACUCACCGCACUCUAGCGACUCCUUGUGACGGGCAGGGGGCCUGCAGGCUGACCUCGGUCGUCAGGUGAACAGUGUUUCUUCCGAUACAUUGGUGUGGCUGGCUUCCGGGUUAAGCCGGCGGGUGUUAAGAAGCGAGGUUUGGUGGGUCAUGUUUCGGAGGACGUAUGACUUGACCUUCGUCUCCCGAGCCCGUUAGGGAAUUGCCGAGAUGAGACAAAAUACAUGGAAACUUAUGGCUUCGGUCCCCAAACUAGCACAUUUGGCUCCUUGGAAGUAGUGGCAAUGUAAGUUUUUGCUUUCCCGUUGGUUCUGGAAACAAAGCCUCUGUUUGUUCUCAGAAUGGAAAUUAUAGGUUAUUUGAAGGUAAUUAAAUAACGUUCUGAGAACAUGUUUCAAUAAGACUUAACACUGCUAGCUUAGUUUGGGUUAACUGAUUUGAACUCCAAGCACAGAACAUAUGGAAAUUCAAUUGCUUAGGUAUUAAUCAUGCAAACACAUACAUUGUUUUGUGGCACGGCAUCAGUGAGAUUCUAAACUAUGAUCUUCUGUUCUCUAGCCAUGGAAUUAGUCCACUGCGCUAACAGGAUUGAGCGAGCAUGCCAUGUUUUUUUAUUUUUACUCAUAGAAAGCGUUUUAUUUUAGUCUAUUCAAACAGACCCCAUUUCAAAGGAAACAAGCACUCGUUAAGAUCAGGUGUGGCCAAUUAGUGGGUGCGACCAACACACCUGAUCACACUUAACACGAUAGAGAUUGAGAGUUUUGUUGACGCUGAGAACGAAAUAUAUAUGCAUUUAAAUAACAUUCUCAGAAUGUUUUUUUAACGUUAGUUUUAUUUUUACUUUAUGGAAAGUUUUCUUCAUGUUCCGAGAACAUUACUUUAAAUAGAACCAUAAAGCAACCUUCAGAAAACAUUUUGCUGAAGUACUGAAAUUCCCACAGAAGAACAUUGUUUCUUAAUGUUCUAUGGACGUUCUGAGAACAUUACUUUAAAUAGAACUAUGAGGAAACCUGUAGGAAACGUUAUACUUAAAGUACUGAAAUUCCUACCUAAGAAACAUAUGGUUCUCAGAACGUUAUGUGAUAGCUGGGUCAUCAGUCAAAUGGUUUAUUUCACCACAGCUCCUCUGAACCUCAUGAGCCUUUUUCCACUCACAAAGGAGCUACAGUAGUACACAAUGGGAGUUUUCUAUUUUGGUAGGCCUUAUCAAUAGAGGAUCUAUCUCCAGUAUCUGAGCCUUGUCUCGGCCUGUUCCUUCCAUGAGAAGUGUUCAUGAGAAAGAGUAUGACAAUGGAGGGCUUGACUUCUUGGGCGGUUUCUACUACAGGUCACAUGGACCUAGGAAUGUUAGGAACAUGACCCUACAGAGCCAAAGAUGUGGUUGGUUUUAGCCCUAGUGUCUGAGACUGACACUGGAGGGCUAUAACAGCGUUAAUGUAACGCUGACUAGAAGAGAGACAGAGGUCAAAGAAAUGCAUGGGAUGACACGGGAAGAACUGUGAGAUCAUUCCAGGAAAUUAUUAAAUACAUCAAUUGUCUUUUGUUGCAUGGAGCAACAGAAAAAAGCUAUUGAUCAACAGAAACCAAGUGUCUCCUGCCUUUCCCUUACUUACAUGCUGCAAAAUAUUCUAACCUUAUUGUCACCUUAUUAUCUUAUUUAUAUUAGACCCCCUACCUCCUGAGCAUCUUUAGCACUGCUGUUUAUGGGAUGGGGAGUGUCGCUGCACAGCUAUUUGCAGGUCUCUACAGAAAUGUUCAAUUGGAUUCAAGUCCGGGCUCUGGCUGAGCCACUGAAGGAUAGUCAGAGACUUGUCCUAAAGCCAGUCCUCUAUUGUCUUGGCUGUAUGCUUAGGCUCGUCGUCCUAUUGGAAGGUGAACUUUCGCCCUAGUCUGAGGUCCUGAGCGCUCUGGAGCAACUUUUCAUCAAGGAUCUCUCUGUAUUUUGCUCCGUUCCUCUUUCCCUCAAUCCGACUAGUCUCCCAGUCCCUGCCGCUGAAAAACAUCCCCACAGAAUGAUGCUGCCACCACCAUGCUUCACCGUAGGGAUGGUGCCAGGUUUCCGCCAGAUGUGACACUUGGCAUUCAGGCAAAAGAGUUCAAUCUUGGUUUCAUCAGACCAGAGUAUCUUGUUUCUCAUGGUCUGAGCCCUUUAGGUGCCGUUUGGCAAACUCCAAGCGGGCUGUCAUAUGACUUCCAUCUGGCCACUCUACUAUAAAGGCCUGAUUGGUGGAGUGCUGCAGAGAUGGUUGUGCUUCUGGAAGGUUCUCCCAUCUUUUCAGAGGAACUCUGGAGCUCUGUCAGAGUGACCAUUGGGUUCUUGGUCAGCUCGCUGACCAAGGCCCUUCUCCCCCGAUUGCUCAGUUUGGCCGGGGGCAGCCAGCUCUAGGAAGAGUCGGUGGUUCUAAACUUCUUCCAUUUAAGAAUGAUGGAGGCCAUUGUGUUCUUAGGGACCUUCAAUGCUGCAGAAAUGUUUUGCUACCCUUCUAGAGAUCUUUGCCUUGACACAAUCCUGUCUCGGAUCUCUCUGACAAUUCCUUCGACCUCUUGGCUUGGGUUUUGCUCUGACAUGCACUGUCAACUGUGGGACCUUAUCUAGAUAGACUGCUGCGCCACUCAGGAGCUCUAAGACACUGCAUCUCAGUUCUAGAGGCGUCACAACAGACCCUGGUUCGAUUCCAGGCUGUAUCACAACUGGAUGUGAUUGUAAGUCCCAUAGGGCGGCGCACAAUUGACCCAACGUCAUCCAGGUUAGAGUUUCGCGGGGGUAUGCCGUCAUUGUAAAUAAGAAUUUGUUCUUACCUGACUUGCCUAGUGUUAUGACUCUCGCUCCUGGGUGAGGAUCAAAGAAAUUCCCCCCCUCCCACUCUCUCCCAUCAGAGAGGAAGGGGGGGAAGUUGGGCUGGCUUUAUGACUUAACAACCGGUCGUAAACUUUCUCUCUCUUGCCUUUGCAGUAUUGAGAAUGGAAUGUCUGAGUGUUACAACAGAGAGAUACUUGCCAGUACUUUAACAUCAAAAGAUUGGACAUUGAAACAAUAUUUCUAACUUAAAGAAUGUGGGAAAUGGUCGGUGGGAGUCAAACAUAAUCAUGUCAUAUCAAUUAGCAUUUUGUGAUGUCAUUACGGAUGGUAUAACAAAAUAACUGUAACUCUGAAAGUAGUCACGUCCUAAUUACCAGAUUUACAUCUAAAUGUUGUAAAACUUAUAUGAUUAAAUAUGGAACUAUUUGUGAAAAGAUAGCAAUGUGAUUUUAGCCUUCUAAAUGUUUUUCAUAAACUUUUGCCAAGUCAGUAACCACGCCCACGUGUGCACAGACAUUGUGGCAACGUGAUGGAACCGCCCUCCAAGGCGAGUGCUUACUCGCUGAAGAAUUAACAUAUUAGACCAAAACAUGCCGGGUUGCUGCCGGUGUGUAAAAUGGUCCUAGCUGUACCCUGAAUAAUCAACCAUUUAGACAAGAGAACAUGAGGAUCAUCCACAUGUUGAAAUAGUUAAAUCUCUACAGACCAGUAUGAUUGCAAUUUAAAUACAGACCAGACAGCGUGGAGUGGUGGGUACACGGCUGACAAAUGGUUUAAAACUACCAGACCAGAAAAUGGUAAGACUCUGAAACUCUCGAGUGAAGAAGAUAAAGACUACAUCAGAACAUUCAGUCUGCAGCUGUCUAAGUACUUUAGUCUAGUAAACUCGACCAAAGAUCACCGUGUGUGGAACAUUUAAAGGAUCCAGCCUAACAAAGACGAGAGGGGAAGACAUCUGAAGGAUUUGAUCUAACGGACACUCCUAGACAAAAUAACCUACUACAACUACAAAGGACAUUGUGAACUCUGGUGGACAAACCAGAGACUUACAUCGAACUAUUCGCCAUAGUCGGAUCGAGUGGUUUCAACAGAGAGACGACAAAGACAGACAGUCAUCUACGCGUAUGUAAACUCAGCAAAAAAUAAAUGUCCUCUCACUGUCAACUGCAUUUAUUUUCAGCAAACUUAACAUGUGUAAAUAUUUGUAUGAACAUAACAAGAUUCAACAACUGAGACAAACUGAACAAGUUUCACAGACAUGUGACUAACAGAAAUUGAAUUAUGUGUCCCUGAACAAAGGAGGGGAGGGGUCAAAAUCAAAAGUAACAGUCAGUAUCUGGUGUGGCCACCAGCUGCAUUAAGUACUGCAGUGCAUCUCCUCCUCAUGGACUGCACCAGAUUUGCCAGUUCUUGCUGUGGGAUGUUACCCCACUCUUCCACCAAGGCACCUGCAAGUUCCCGGACAUUUCUGGGGGGAAUGGCCCUAGCCCUCUCCCUCUGAUCCAACAGGUCUUAGACGUGCUCAAUGGGAUUGAGAUCUGGGCUCUUCGCUGGCCAUGGCAGAACACUGAGAUUCCUGUCUUGCAGGAAAUCACGUACAGAACGAGCAGUAUGGCUGGUGGCAUUGUCAUGCUGGAGGGUCAUGUCAGGAUGAGCCUGCAGGAAGGGUACCACAUGAGGGAGGAGGAUGUCUUCCCUGUAAUGCACAGCGUUGAGAUUGCCUGCAAUGACAACAAGCUCAGUCCGAUGAUGUUGUGACACACGGCCCCAGACCAUGACAGACCCUCCACCUCCAAAUCGAUCCCGCUCCAGAGUACAGGCCUCGGUGUAACGCUCAUUCCUUCGACGAUAAACGCGAAUCCGACCACCACCCCUGGUGAGAAAAAACGUGACUCGCCAGUGAAGAGCGCUUUUUGACAGUCCUGUCUGGUCCAGCGACGGUGGGUUUGUGCCCAUAGGCGACGUUGUUGCCGGUGAUGUCUGGUGAGGACCUGCCUUACAACAGGCCUACAAGCCCUUAGUCCAGUCUCUCUCAGCCUAAUGCGGACAGUCUGAGCACUGAUGGAGGGAUUGUGCAUUCCUGAUGUAUCUAGGGCAGUUGUUGUUGCCAUCCUGUACCUGUCCCGCAGGUGUGAUGUUCGGAUGUACCGAUCCUGUGCAGGUGUUGUUACACAUGGUCCGCCACUGCGAGGACGAUCAGCUGUCCAUCGUGUCUCCGUGUAGCGCUGUCUUAGGCGUCUUACAGUACGGACAUUGCAAUUUAUUGCCCUGGCCACAUCUGCAGUCCUCAUGCCUCCUUGCAACAUGCCUAAAGCACAUUCACGCAGAUGAGCAGGGACCCUGGGCAUGUUCUUUUGGUGUUUUUCAGAGUCAGUAGAAAUUCCUCUUUAGUGUCCUAAGUUUUCAUAACUGUGACCUUAAUUUCCUACCGUCUGUAAGCUGUUAGUGUCUUAACGACUGUUCAACAGGUGCAUGUUCAUACAUUUUUUAUGGUUCAUUGAACAAGCAUGGGAAACAGUGUUUAAACCCUUUACAAUUAAUAUGUUAAGUUAUUUGGAUUUUUACGAAUUAUCUUUGAAAGACAGGGUCCUGAAAAAGGGACGUUUAUUUUUUUGCUGAGUUUAUGUAUUGCAUUCUUUUUCUGAAUGAGCGGUUAUUAGCGUAUGAAGUAUUUGUAUUUCUGUGAGUGUAGCUUACAAAUGUCCCGAUAGUUGAAUUCCUUUGCCUCUCCCUUUCCCUCUCUUUCUGCAUCCUCCAUUUUGUUAUAACCAAAUUGUCAUGCUUUGUUAGUCCGCUAGGGACUUUUCAUUGCAUCAUGUUAGUAAUCAAUAUAAUGUAUACUGUGUUUAUGUAAUUCUGUGUGAUUAUUUAGUUAGUAAAUAAAUAAUUAAGCCAA
rnacentral:lncRNA from 1 species